GGUGGUUUGGUUUGUUAGCUUGAAAGUAUUUCAGCUUAAUCCAACUUCUUCCAUGCAUUAAUCCCAUGCCUCUCUUUAUUUUUGCACCAUCAGAUGGUAUUUAGGAAUUUGUCUGCGCUGAAGUGGAGGAGUCCUUCUGCUUGAAGGAUCUUCCAUGCCACAUUUAUUCCUUGGUGAUUUAAUUCACAUAGAAUCCAAAGAGACCCCGCGUGAGGAUAUGUAGCGCCAUGGGUUGUUUCUUGCGCCCUUUCCUUUCUUAUUUAAAGGGGGCACUCCUAAGGGAUUAACAUGUAUUCCUUGGGUUAUUAGGCAUGAAAUUGAGAGGAGAAAAGAAAGGAAAAAUCAGAGAAAAAGAAAGAAAAAAAUCAAGAGAAAGAAAAGAAAAGAAA
rnacentral:lncRNA from 1 species